rnacentral:rRNA from 1 species
GACGAACGCUGGCGGCGUGCCUAAUACAUGCAAGUCGAACGAGUGGCGGACGGGUGAGUAACACGUGGGAACCUACCCAUCAGAGGGGGAUAACACUUGGCAACAGGUGCUAAUACCGCAUACUGGUGGCUGGACCCGCGGUGCAUUGGCUAGUUGGGGAGGUAACGGCUCACCUAGGCGACGAUCCCUAGCUGGUCUGAGAGGAGGAACAGCCACACUGGAACGGAGACACGGUCCAGACUCCUACGGGAGGCAGCAGUGGGGAAUAUUGAACAAUGGGCGCAAGCCUGAUGCAGCCAUGCCGCGUGUAUGAAGAAGGCCUUCGGGUUGUAAAGUACUUUCAGCGGGGAGGCGUUACCCGCAGAAGAAGCACCGGCUAACUCCGUGCCAGCAGCCGCGGUAAUUC